AACGAACGCUGGCGGCAUGCCUAACACAUGCCAGUCGAACGAGACCUUCGGGUCUAGUGGCGCACGGGUGCGUAACGCGUGGGAACCUGCCCUUAGGUUCGGAAUAACUCCCCGAAAGGGGUGCUAAUACCGGAUAAUGUCUUCGGACCAAAGAUUUAUCGCCUUUGGAUGGGCCCGCGUUGGCUUAGCUAGUUGGUAGGGUAAAAGCCUACCAAGGCGACGAUCCAUAGCUGGUCUGAGAGGAUGAUCAGCCACACUGGGACUGAGACACGGCCCAGACUCCUACGGGAGGCAGCAGUGGGGAAUAUUGGACAAUGGGCGAAAGCCUGAUCCAGCAAUGCCGCGUGAGUGAUGAAGGCCUGAGGGUUGUAAAGCUCUUUUACCCGGGAUGAUAAUGACAGUACCGGGAGAAUAAGCUCCGGCUAACUCCGUG
rnacentral:rRNA from 1 species